GAGGAGCCGGGGAGCCAACCGCUCCCGGGCCCGGUUGCCUUGGAAACCGCCUCCCUCCCUUCAGGGGCCUCUGGGCGUGAAGGUCCUUCCAACUGCUUGCUAGAAAAUCUCUGCUUCUAUUUGCAGCUGCACCUGACCCUUGAAAACUGGGAAAGUGUCGGUUUUGCCUAUUCUGAUUUCAUUCCUUGGGAGAUGAUGUUUAAAUUCCGGGCAAACAUCCUUCGCGAUUGCAGGAGGAGGUAAAAAACUGAGGCUCAGUGAAGUUAAGCAACUUACUCAAGGUCAGGCAGUCAUGAAGCUGGGAUUCCAUCAUUCAUCUAUUAAUUCAAAACACUUUUGCUGAGAACCUAUGUAUCGUGCCCUAUGUUAGGUGUUGGGAAAACAGCAAUUAAGACAGUGUCCUUGGCCUCAUAAGCCUUACAAUCAAGUGGGAGAAAGUAAACAAGUCAUCAAACAAGAUAACCGCUAGUUAUAAUCACUACUGUUAAGUAAAUAAAGAGUUAUGUGAUCAAGAGUAACUGGCAUGGGAUAGGGAGAGCUUCUCUGAGGAGGUGGGGAAAGAUUCACCUGAGGAGACGAGUCAAGAACAAGCUCUCUGAUUCUAGAGUUCUUGACCACUAUGUUGUAUUGGCCUAUAAAAAUUGUACCAUCUCCAAAAUCUGCCCUUAGGGGAGAAUGGAUUAGAGGGGGAAACCUGAGGCAGGGCGUCAGAAAGACUGACUCUAGCAACGUGGUAAUUCAGGAGCCGAGGAUGGUGGCCAAAGGAAAGAUGUGCCCACAUCCCCCACUCCCCUGGAAGGCAAGUCCCAGCCAUGGCAGAAGUGGAGUAGGUAGGGUAGGGAAAGGAAUUGAGAAGUAGUGGUGAUUCCUGGGAGGACUGGUGGAUCUGACUUCUCUCCAGUACAAAUGUGGAAAAAGUCAGAGCCUCUGGCCCUUGACUCCAGGGUCAAGAGCCCCAUCUUCUGGCCUAUUGUGCAAAUUACAAAAGGAAGUAGGCCACAGAGGCAGCAGCUAAGGCUGCUGCUAUCUGGGGCACUGCAGAAGACAGGCUCUAUCCUCCCAGGGAUGAUUUGGUCUCUCCUUCCCAGAAAAAGCUGGUUCACUUGGCUCUAAGCACGAGGCUCCUAACAUCUACUGCUCCUUACCCUGGUUGGAAAAGCUCAAACACAUGGCUCUCAGCCUGGCUGGAAGACAAGUCCUAGUGGAGCUGGGGGUAUUCAGCCAAGGACAUCACCUCACACUGAUUAUUUUUCUAAAGAAAUCAGAAAAAAACAGCAGAACAGAAUUCAGAGCCUUCUUGAAUCUUCAGUCAGCCCAGAAAGAGGCAUAAAGUGGACAAGAAAAUGGAAAAUACAUGUGUAGAGGCAGAGACAACACAUGCACACACACACACACACAUCAUACCAAUAGGGAGGCAGAGAGGCAUGCUACAUGGAUAGCCUCACUUCAUCCUUGCAACAACUCUGAGCAUGCUGCCAGCAUGGAACACUACACAUCCCAGGGAAGAGUCUGAGGCGCCACAAAAGCUGAGAGCCAAGCU
rnacentral:lncRNA from 1 species